GACGAACGCUGGCGGCGUGCCUAACACAUGCAAGUCGAGCGAGUGAAUCUCCUUCGGGAGUGAAACUAGCGGCGGACGGGUGAGUAACACGUGGGCAACCUGCCUCAUAGAGGGGAAUAGCCUUUCGAAAGGAAGAUUAAUACCGCAUAAGAUUGUAGCUUCGCAUGAAGUAGCAAUUAAAGGAGUAAUCCGCUAUGAGAUGGGCCCGCGGCGCAUUAGCUAGUUGGUGAGGUAACGGCUCACCAAGGCGACGAUGCGUAGCCGACCUGAGAGGGUGAUCGGCCACAUGGGGACUGAGACACGGCCCAGACUCCUACGGGAGGCAGCAGUGGGGAAUAUUGCACAAUGGGGGAAACCCUGAUGCAGCAACGACGCGUGAGUGAUGACGGCCUUCGGGUUGUAAAACUCUGUCUUCAGGGACGAUAAUGACGGUACCUGAGGAGGAAGCCACGGCUAACUACGUGCCAGCAGCCGCGGUAA
rnacentral:rRNA from 1 species